rnacentral:rRNA from 1 species
GACAGAGGGUGCAAACGUUGUUCGGAAUUACUGGGCGUAAAGCGCGUGUAGGCGGCCAUGCAAGUCGGAUGUGAAAGCCCUCGGCUCAACCGGGGAAGUGCACUCGAAACUGCAAGGCUAGAGUCUCGGAGAGGAUCGUGGAAUUCUCGGUGUAGAGGUGAAAUUCGUAGAUAUCGAGAGGAACACCGGUGGCGAAGGCGGCGAUCUGGACGAUGACUGACGCUGAGGCACGAAGGUCAGGGGAGCAAACGGG